rnacentral:misc_RNA from 1 species
GAUGAAGAACGUAGCGAAAUGCGAUAAGUAGUGUGAAUUGCAGAAUCCAGUGAAUCAUCGAAUCUUUGAACGCACAUUGCGCCCCUUGGUAUUCCAUGGGGCAUGCCUGUUCGAGCGUCAUUUGUACCUUCAAGCUUUGCUUGGUGUUGGGUGUUUGUCUCGCCUUUGCGUGUAGACUCGCCUUAAAAUAAUUGGCAGCCGGCGUAUUGAUUUCGGAGCGCAGUACAUCUCGCGCUUUGCACUCAUAACGACAGCGUCCAAAAGUACAUUUUACACUCUUGACCUCGGAUCAGGUAGGGAUACCCGCUGAACUUAAGCAUAUCAAUAAGCGGAGGA